GUAGCGGGCCACGUACCAGACAUCUUAAGGAAACCAGAGCUCUGGUUACUCCUCAGUUUUAACACCUCAUGAGAGGAGCCAAUUAUUUUGGACCAACAAGCUGCCUUUCGUGGAGUUUUGUCUCUGCUUGAAGUCAGAGCCCGUCUGCCAGCACAGAUUCGUGGGGUGCGGGGAGAGGUGAGCCCAGGUGACCAGGUGAGCCCAGGUGAGCAUGGCGGGGAAGGAGAUAAAGGCUCACCCUCUCGCCAUGCAUGCCUGUGUCCAGCCGUCCUCCUGGACCUGGGAGUCAAGGUCAUAUCACGAAAACAACGGUUGGCUCUGGACCAAGGCUCUGGGGCUGCAGCAACUGAGACGGAGUCUUUGCUCUGCCGAGCGCUAGCCGGAUGGCCUCGGGCAGGGGUCCUGACCUCUCUCAGCUUCGUUUCCAUCAUCAGCGAAAUAGAGAUGACCGUGGGUUGGAGGGGAUUGAGCAGGACACUGCGUGCAAAAUGCUCAGCCCCGUGGCGUGCACAGAGCGCACAUGGUCAGUAAAUUGACCAUUACAGCAUCAGUCCAUUUGUAACAAAGCUGUUAGAGGCCGCGCCCUCAGGGAGCUCAGCUGGCUUCUCUCACGGAGCAUCAGGUCCUCGGGGUCCAUCCACAUCGUAGCAGGGGUCAGUGUUUGGCGGAGGGACAUUCCAUGGCAUGGACGCACCACACCCGGCCCCUCCCGUCACCCUCGCCCCCUUCCUACCCUCCCGCCGCUGUGAGUAGCGGUCAUCGGUUUGGAAAUGGGACAGACUGUUUUCUUGUCUGAUGUCUCUGCUGGACGGGCAGCUUCUCAAGGGCAGCCAAGGGUUUGGUGUUAGGGCUGUUGCCUCCCUCCAGCUCACAGGUUGUACGGGAGAGCGCAUGUGAGCAGGAGGGAGGGGGAAGGAGGGGGGAUGGUGGAGGGGGGAGGGGAGGGGUUCCCAGCCGCCUGCAGAGGCCAUGCAGCCCUGCCCGCACCCACCCUGCUGGUGGGCUCCUCCUGCCUCCCGCAGCUCCCAGCCCAGGACAGAGCGGUCCUCCGACCUUCCCUCUGCUCCCUCCCGGGGCCCCCGGCACCCUGCAAACGGAGACAGGAAAGGGCAGGUGCCCGCCCGCUUGCCCUCGUCACCCGCCAUUCCACCCAUGCAGAAAUCACUGCGCUGGACUUGGAGGACAGUGGCCACGUGCAGGGGCAGAGAGCGGCUCCCCGAAACUGCGUGAAAUGGACACAAACGCACCCGGAGUUCUCAGGAGGGAGGGUCGUCGCUGUGGUCCUCGGGGUUUGCCGUCCGGACAGGACCCAAGACGGCUGCACCUGUCACCUGAGACCUGUCACCUGAGCUCCUUCAGCCACAGCCCGGGGCUGGCGGGGUGGAGGGGGGCGUCUGACAGCCAGGAAGACCCCAAGGCACGGGACAGUCUCACGCCUGCUCCCGCUGUGUCGGGGCACCCGGAUGGAAAGCCUGACGUGACCGCCGCCCCCUCCCCAGGCGGGGGCCCCUUCCUUUGCACUAACAUGCAGGGCAACAUGCCGGCCGCCUCCUGGUUGCCGGGCCGUGUGAAAAUCACCCCAGUGGCGCGAUGAGCUGUUUGCCCGGGGUUAAUCGUCAGUGUUAAACCUUGCUCGGCGCAGGUUUAAAGCUGAAUUUUCAAUUUCCAUGUCUAAGAAAUCCAUUCUCCCACCCGCCGCGGGAGAGAACGGAGUUCACGGGUUUAGCCCAUUUCCGGGCCUCUUGACUCAGGGCACUACUAGGCGUGGGCCAAGUGGAGGGGGUCUGCAGCUGCUUCUCUGCU